AGGUGGAAGGAUUAGCCUUGAAAUGCUGGAGGGAGAGCCAGCUGCUCCUCUGGGAGAGGAGGAAAGAGUUUUGGCUUGACAAGCAGUGCAAUGUCCGCGCCUGGGAUCCAAACCUGCAAACUCCGGGCCACCGAAGCAGAGUGCGUGAACUUAACCACCAGGCCACCAGGCUGGCCUCUGGUCAGUUUUUGAUACACCAGCCUCAGAUCUUUAGAGAAGCUGAAUCUAGCUGUCCAGCCCGAGGGGAACCCUCCAGGGCCAGCCCAGGAGUGAACACAGCCUGUGUUUCCACUUACAAGCAUGCUCUCUUGGGGCUAUUCUGAGUGUGGAGUGAAGACACCUAGCAACCCUCUUCUAUUAUGUUGAUUCAACCAAGACAGGCUCUGCAGGAGCAAGGUCGCCUUACCUGGACUGCCACGUGUUAGUAAGGAACCCUCUUCUGAAGACUCAGAGAGCACAGGCCUAUUGUGAUGUGUGGUUAAACCUCGCUGAUCAGUUCCUAGGUACCUCUGUCUACGCAGCCUCUUU
rnacentral:lncRNA from 1 species